AACCCUAGCGCGCGCCACUCUCCCUGGCAGCCGCCGCCAGGAAGCCUCCACUCCUUCUCCCCUUCUCUCCUCCCCUUGCUCUUCUCUGGCCGACGCCACUUGCGUGUGCAGGCAGGCAGGCCCUGGCGUCCGCGCAUCCUCUUCUGGCCAGGAGCUCCCCCACGCAGCCGCUGCUCUCUCCACGUCCUCUAUUCCUUCCCAUCCCCGAUCUCCCCCAAUCCGAGCAGACCGGCAGAGCCGGGGGGCGGCGAUGGCGCUGCGACGGGCGCUCCUCAGAUCAGCAGAGACCUCUUUCGAACGCAAGUAGCCGGGAGAUUCGGGAUCCCGCGCGCGAGUUGGGCUUGGCCAGCUGGCGUCGUAGCCGCACUCUAGGACAUGCGAGGUUCAAUUGUGAACUGAGAGUCUGAACCUGGUGUAAACGGGGAAGAGCCGGUGGGCGAGGUGGAGCGGGUCGUCGUCCUGGAUGUCGCCGAGGACAUCCGGUUGUCGCUUGCUCAUGGCGUUAGGCUGGUUGCUUCCUCAAAGCGAGCGGCGCAUCAACUAUUUAUCUACGUCCUGGAUAAUCGAAUUGCUUUGCCGUGGAAGCAAAAGGGCGGAGGCGGCGAGUGCUGCGACGACGGCAGCGACACCCGGUGGUGGCCGCCGUGGCUGAGGCCGCUGCUGUCCGUGUGCUUCUUCGUCCAAUGCAGGGUCCACACCGACGCGCACAAGAGCGAGUGCAACAUGUACUGCCUCGACUGCAUGGGCGACGCUCUCUGCGCGCUCUGCCUCGCCGCGCGCCACCGCGACCACCACUCCAUCCAGGUCAGUGGAGAGCCUAGCGCUGUGCGCAGACUAGUGCAGUUCGGCAGUUCAGGCGGCUGCGUCCUCGUUCCCCAGUGCCUCUGCCUCCAGCACAUUUCAUUCCCCUCCAAUCCAUCGCCUGUUCCAUCCGUCUCUUUGAUGGGUAUCAGUGGAGAAAGUACGGGCAGAAGUGGAUCUCCAAAGCAAAGCAUUCUAGGCUGCAAUUGAGUACAUUCAUUCUUUAUCAAGGGCACAGCCUGCUCGUUCUCUCAAUUGUGCUGGCCUUUGUCCUGCUAGUAGAUCACUUAGCACUCAGGCCGCCACUACGUCAAGCACACCACAGUUGAAAGCACACCCCACGUCAAGCAGCCAGGCCGCCACUACGUUAAGCAAAACAGAAGACGAGAAGAACUGAUGUAGCCAUGUUUAUGCUUCCACUGUUGAAAUGCAUAUUCAGCAUAGCUUACUCAGUUCCUAUCUGCUGUUUCAACGUUGAUUUAAAAGAAGAGCUGGUAGUUGUGAACUAUCUGUAAAUGAUCUAGUUGUGAAUGAUAUUAUAAUUGUGAUGCUUUUGUGAA